rnacentral:rRNA from 1 species
GACGAACGCUGGCGGCGUGCUUAACACAUGCAAGUCGAACGAUGAACCCGGAGCUUGCUCCGGUGGAUUAGUGGCGAACGGGUGAGUAACACGUGAGUAACCUGCCCUUGACUCUGGGAUAACUGCGGGAAACUGUAGCUAAUACCGGAUACGACCCUCGGCGGCAUCGCCAGGGGGUGGAAAGAAUUUCGGUCAAGGAUGGACUCGCGGCCUAUCAGCUAGUUGGUGAGGUAACGGCUCACCAAGGCGACGACGGGUAGCCGGCCUGAGAGGGUGACCGGCCACACUGGGACUGAGACACGGCCCAGACUCCUACGGGAGGCAGCAGUGGGGAAUAUUGCACAAUGGGCGCAAGCCUGAUGCAGCAACGCCGCGUGAGGGAUGACGGCCUUCGGGUUGUAAACCUCUUUUACCUGUGACGAUGAUGACGGUAGCAGGAGAAAAAGUACCGGCUAACUCUGUGCCAGCCGCCGCCGUAAUAC